rfam:Capsicum annuum cultivar Zunla-1 chromosome 9, whole genome shotgun sequence
UGAUGAUGAUGAGGGCAAUUUCUGAGCAUACUUUUAAAUCACUCCCACAGUUGGUUGAGAUUAUUUCCUUCUUUCUGUGUGAAACCCAGAAUCUCACUUCUCAAACA